rnacentral:rRNA from 1 species
CAGUCGCCACGGUAAUACGUAGGGUGCGAGCGUUAAUCGGAAUUACUGGGCGUAAAGCGUGCGCAGGCGGUUCGUUAAGACAGAUGUGAAAUCCCCGGGCUUAACCUGGGAACUGCAUUUGUGACUGGCGAGCUAGAGUAUGGCAGAGGGGGGUAGAAUUCCACGUGUAGCAGUGAAAUGCGUAGGGAUGUGGAGGAAUACCGAUGGCGAAGGCAGCCCCCUGGGCCAAUACUGACGCUCAUGCACGAAAGCGUGGGGAGCAAACAGGAUUAGAUACCCCGGUAGUCCCUGUCUCUUAUAC